CCCCCCCCCCCAAAAAAAAAAAAACAAAGAUAUAAAGGGUGGGAACUAGGAGUUUCACAAGGUAAAAGCUUAAAGGCAAAAAUUCAGGUCUUUCCAGGCUUAAUAGCUGAGCAUGCUUUUUUAACUUUCUUUAACUACUUAGCAACCCUCAAGCUAUUUUCAUAAAUUCUCCUAGUUUGUUAUAUAUGAUAAAUUUUAUUAAACUGGGAUGAGUGAAUCUAAGUUUUAAGAAAAUAUUUGGAUGUGGAAAUGGUCACAAUAAAUGCACAAUGGUUAUGAUUAAUAUGCAUCUCUUGCAAGUGUAGUUUUGGGAUAGGAAAUAAAUACAAAAGGCCUUCUUUGGUUUUCAGAACUACUUGGAAGCUGUUCUAGGUUGAAUCUUGCCAUUCUUUUAAAAAGAAGUUUGUCUAGAAACAGAAUGGUUAAUGAAAUCUUGGAAAUUCAACUUAACAUUAUUCACUUUGCUUGAUCCUGAUGAAUCUAUCACAAAAUUUGGAAGAAUUUUUGGAAAUUGGAUGAAAUAUUACAAUCUUUGAGAAUAUUUUUAGGUUGUGAGCUGCUGGUUGAAACAAGCUUGGUAUCAAUUUUUAGGUUAUUGGCACCCCCACCUAGUGGUGGGUAUAUCUCCAGGGUUUAAUCCCCGGCAUAUUCACUUAGGGGAAAAAAAAGUUGGCUCUCCUCUUGUUGAAACAAUGAGGUGGGGGGUAUGGUCAUAAGUUCAAUACGAACUUGGUGUGUAACUUUUUAAUAGAAAAAAAUCCAAUGUCCAUUAAAAGAAUUGAAAGACUUGACUAUCAGAAAUUUUGAAUACCUAUGAUUUUAGGGUGAGGGGAUUGGGAAUUUCAUCAAAGAUGAUUUUAAAUGUCAUAGGAAUUGGUGAUUUCGAGACUUACAUGGUUCUAGUGGUAAUGGUAUUCUUUGAAGAUUAUAUUCAUUGUACUAAUUUUGCUCUUUUGAACCAAAGUGUCCUAUUCUUGCUGUAGAUUGAUCUGAGAGAAAAUUAAAGAAAUGACAUAUGCCUGUAAGGGGAGCCUGAGGUCCUCAUACUGUUUGGUACUUGUUACAUCAUAUUUAUUGGCAUUGCUUGAAGUAUGAUUUGGGAAAUUUUUAUGCAGCAGCAGGUUUAAAAGUUUGGAUUGAUGACGUCGAAAAUUGUCACCAAUGGGUCACAUCGUACUCGCGACUCGAAGCGAACCUGCACGACAGAAACAAUCGAAAGGAGCCCUUCAGAGAGUAUCGGUGUGGUGCCGGCCAAAAGCUCUCCAACGGUCAAGUUAGAAUUCUUAUGUUUUACUUAGAGCGUUAGAGAGGGUCAAUUAAAGCGUACCUCCAUCCCCCUAGGGUAUUAGGUCUUUUAUAGUGAUAAAGGGUUGACUUUUCUCCUUGGUUUCCAAAUCUUUUCCAUGUGGGACUCUCAUACAAAUUCCUUUGAGCGUGGUGAGCAAGGAUUUCCGUUUUCGGAUCAUAGGGCUUUUCUAGGCGAUAGAGAUUUUGGAUCAUGGGCCCUUACUGUGUCUGUCAGCGAUGGGCCUUCAAAGCGCGUGGGAUAAUCCUUGCACAGGCCCAACAGUCCUGAUCCGUCGGGCCCACUAAGGUAGGCCCGUCAGUCCGUCGCGUCAGGUGGGCCCGUCAGGUAGGCCCGUCAGGCCCGUCAGGAUCUAUAUCUUACCAUCUUCAGUUGCCCCCUUCACCCCAAUGGUCCGUCAGCUUUUAGGAUAAAGGAUCAAUGGGGUGACGAUCCAAACGUGAGGGUAUGACGGGUAUUUUUAUGACGGAAGGAGGCUCAUGAGACAAGGAAAGUUUUAAGUUGUCAUAACGGGUUGACGGAUCUACGCAAGAUAGGAUGACGGUGCAAAUGAGGAGUCCGUCGAUCACACCAACUACAGACAGGCUGUACGAAGGUAAUUAAUGCUGAUGACACGUGUUACAAGUUGAUUGGACCUUGUCUCGGAUCGAAGCGACGCUUCGACUUCCGUGCAUCUCUCUUAUAAAUAAGAGAGUGAUUCCUCUCAUUUCUUCAGUUUCAGUAGAAAUAAGGCUGUCAGAGCGUACCCGUCACCCUUGUCAGAGCGCACCGUCAUAAUCUGCUGAUCCGUUCAUUCACCUUAAUCGUCAACGCCAUCCUUCAUCACUUCGUUGGCAAAACUGGUAAGUGCUCUUCUUAAAGCUAAUACUUGUUUUAAUUUUCCUUACAAUCCACACCCGUUAUAGACACAUAGACCGUCAGAGUCUUAGGCUCUUGUCGUUUCAUGUAGGAAAUGUCUAGUGCGUCGAGUAAUCAGUCGGUUAUUCGUGACGGGUUGGAUUACGAGGAAGUAUAUCCGUCCGGUCAUCGAGAACAAGGUAGUCCAGAUGAUAGUAGUUCGUCCACCUCCUCCUCGUCCUCAACAUAUGAGGAUCUGGAGGUGGUUGAUCCAGACGAGGGACCUGGUGUUGGUGAGGAUCAAAUUGUCAGAUCCGUCAUUGGUGCUGAUGGGCUCAGGAAGUUCGCCAUGCUACCGGAGUGGACGGUGAAUUUCUUCACGUCUGUUAUCAAGGAAAAGCACUUUAAGACAUUUAGGGAUAAUUAUCAAAUUCCAGAAAAUGUUACGAUCCGUCUACCCUACAAAUCUGAGAGGUGUUACUAUGACGGGGUAGAGGGAGUCGGGGUGUAUGAGCAAAUGUUGAAGGCCGGACUUAGAUUCCCAUUGAGUUCGCUUCACCGUUUGCUCCUCCGUCAGCUGGGGUUAUCCGUGAACCAGAUAUCCCCUAAUGCUUGGAGGGUUUUUAUAGCGAUGGAGGUCUUGUACGGUGCCAUGUCCAACGGAGAAAAAAGGCUGACGAUUAGGGAGUUUUUUCACUACUACCGUCCGGACGAAAUUGACAAAUCCAGGGGAAUUUAUAGCUUCGUCCCUAGGAGUCCGUUGCUGAAAGUCAUCUAUGACACGCCGGACUCAAAUAGGGAUUGGAAGAGUCGGUUCUUCUUCCUAGAAGGCGACGGUUGGAUGGGUCGUCCUGGGGAAACGGAUUUCAUGCCCGUCGACACUACUUGGGGCAUAUUGGACCCGUCUAGUAUGGACUAUCCUUCAAACUUUAAUAUUACUAAGUUUCUUGAAUAUAAUCUAACCGUCCUCUUUCUUCUUUUGUAGUUAGACGACGGCCCCAAAUUGACCUUAAGGAGUUUGCUUUCCUUGAGAAAAUUCUCUCAAAGACCAAGCCGGAGGAAAGGACUUGGGCGAAGCUGGUAACACUAAAUACCAUUCAUUGGUAUUGCGACGGACCGGAACCUACAACGGCAGCCGUCAAGUACGAAGCACAGAUAAGGAGGCAGAUGGACGACGCUAAGAGAAGAGCCCUGAUCCGGUCAAAGGCUGCAAAGAAGACUUCUGACGACGCUCCCCCUGCGACGGGCCCAAGCAAUCCGUCUGCGAAGCGGAAAACUCAGCCCAAAACGGAUCGCCAGGCCAAGAAGGCCAAAGUGUCUUUAGAUCCCGUCGUGGGACUCAUGGCGGAGCCUCCGAAGACGGUCACUCCAACCAAGCACGGGGUUGGCAAGGGCUUGAUGAAGGGCCCGUCGAAGGAUGACGAGAAGCCGCCCGUCCUUCUUCGUGAGGAUUCUAAGCAUGCCUUAGAACAGAUUUCCUCCAUCAUCUCGACGGAGGAUUAUGAAGAUUUAGGCAAUCACUCGACGGAGGCCAUGGGUGAGACGGGCCUGUUUGCAAUUACACAGGUAAGAUAGUCCGUCUACUAUUCAAAUACAACUUAAAUCAUCUACCGAAAGUUUGUUUUAUAACUAUGUUGUUAUUUUUUUGGCAAUGGUCAUGAUGAAGGGGCUGAUGGGACGGUGCCUCAGCCAUGAGACGGCUUUGGAUCGUGUACGGGCCAAGGCGGAGAAGACGGAGGAAGAACUCCUCCAGUUGCGAAACUGGAGACCUAAGAUAGAGAAGAAGCUUGAGCUUUCGGAGAAGGCAAGGAAGAGCCUUGAACAGAUGACGGAGGAGGCAAAGAAGGCUCUAGAAAGCAAGGACAAAGAGAUAGCAGAGCUGAAAAAUGAAGUCCGUCAGGCUAAGGACGUGGCGGUUCGUGAAUACUGUGACUCCGACGCCCUAAUCACUGAGCUGGGCGAUUCUUUCCAUCAGGGCUUCAUGGAUGCCCUCCGUCAAGUCAAGCAAGCUUAUCCAGACGUGGACGCUUCCAAGUUCAAAGUUGAAGACCCGGUUCAGUCAUCUGUCGUGCCUGUUGCCUCAGAGGAUAUAGACGACCUCUUUGAUGUCGACGAUGCCGUUGGUGAAGGGGCGUCUGCACCAGCGAAAGUUGAUCAAGCUGAGCCUGACACGGAGACGGUUCCUCAGCUCGUCGACAAUGCGGACAAGGCUCAGUAGAAGGAUUAUUAUUAUUAUUAUUAUUAUUAUUAUUAUUUUUUGGAACAAUUCUCAUCCGUUGUUGAUGAUAUGUAAACAUUGCCUUUUAAUGGCCUAUUUUGUUAAAUGAAUCCGUGCACUUCAUUUUAUAUGUUUUGAAUCUUGCCAUUGCUUGACCUA